GUUAGAAUAAGGUUCGAGGGGUUGAAGUUCAGGAUGGUUGGGGGAUAGAAUAAGGUUUGGGGGGUGUUAAGACACCUCCCGUGUCUUUAAGUCAAACCGCCGUUUAGUAAACCUUCCCCGGCUGCAGUACCGUCUCUGUUCUCUUACUCUAUAAUCCACGAACGAAAUGCAGGGGAAGCGACAAUCUCCCGAUCGAAAUCCACGAACGGCUCCAAACUCCCGAACGGCAAUAUACGAACUGCUAGGAACCGUCGAACACUAAUAUCCCCAAAGCGGCUUUCGUUCCAUCCAGCAGUCUCUAAC